CCUGCGGAAGGAUCAUUAUCGAGUUUUUGAAAGGGGUUGUAGCUGGCCUUUAACUGGGCAUGUGCACGCCUCGCUCAAUUCCAACUCUUUAACACCUGUGCACACACUGUAGGAAUGGUUUAUGGAAGAGGGAUUUCGGUUCCUUGGAAGUAGCCUUUUCUAUGUUUAUAACAAACUCUUAAAUGUAUUAGAAUGUUCAUUGCGCUUUAUAACGCAUUAUAUAUAACUUUCAGCAACGGAUCUCUUGGCUCUCGCAUCGAUGAAGAACGCAGCGAAAUGCGAUAAGUAAUGUGAAUUGCAGAAUUCAGUGAAUCAUCGAAUCUUUGAACGCACCUUGCGCCCUUUGGUAUUCCGAAGGGCAUGCCCGUUUGAGUGUCAUUGUAUUCUCAAACCCCUUCAUUUUUUGAAGUGGGCUUUGGAUUUGGAGGUUAUUGCGGGUUUGUAAUGAAUCCGCUCCUCUUGAAUGCAUUAGCUGGAAACCUUUGUUAGGCUGGCUUCAGUGUGAUAAUUGUCUGCGCUGUAGUCAUCUAACACUUUGUUGAGGAUUCCGCUUCUAAUCGUCUUGUAUGAGACAAUUUACUUUAUGACAUCUGACCUCAAAUCGGGUAGGACUACCCGCUGAA
rnacentral:rRNA from 1 species